UACGUAGGCAGCAAGCGUUGUUCGGAAUUACUGGGCGUAAAGAGUACGUAGGUGGUUUGCCAAGUCCGAUGUGAAAUCUCCUGGCUUAACUGGGAGGGUGCGUUAGAUACUGGCAGGCUUGGGUGUGGGAGAGGAGAGCGGAAUUCCUGGUGUAGCGGUGAAAUGCGUAGAUAUCAGGAGGAACGCCUGUGGUGUAGACGGCUCUCUGGACCAUUACUGACACUGAGGUACGAAAGCGUGGGUAGCAAACAGG
rnacentral:rRNA from 1 species